UAUCAUCGUCUUCUAUGGAUGGCU
rnacentral:miRNA from 1 species